UUUUUUUUUUUUUUUUUUUUUUUUUCUUUUUUCAUUCUUUUAAUAAAGCACCCUCCCCAUGGUUUAGAAGUUAGCAGUAAUUGUCAAUAUAACUGAGAUGAGUCAUAAAUAUGCUUCCAAAAAUAGGAGUUGUUUUGUUUUGAUCAGAAAAGAUAUUAGCUUUGUGCUAUGAUCAGAGCAGUCAAAUUGGCCAUUCCAAGAGCUAAAUGGGUGUACAUGCAUUGUUCAAACGCCAAAAGUAGUACAUUCUUGGAGGAUUUAACACGGUACGGCAAGAGUCCGGCCAACAUAGUUUACUAGUAUGUAACAUUUGAUAAAGCAUAGAUAGCAACAGCUAAUUAAAGACCCUUUGUGAGUCUUAUUUCCAUCAUUUUCUAUAACCAGUGGCUAUGCUAUUGAAAUCAGUGGCCAUGUCUCAUUCAUGUCUCAGCUGUAUGUGUUGAAGAGCAGAUGACUUGUUUCUGAUCAGUAGGACCUGAAAAUGUGUCAAGUUUAUACUUGGGCAGCAAUUGCAAUGGCUAUCCAUUUUUCU